CUCCGCUCCGCCUAAUCGCCGCCUCGCUCCGCCUAGCUCCGCCUCGCGCCCAGACUGCCGCCUGCCCCCCUAGGCCAGGCGAUGGCCGUCGACUAGCGACUAAUCGCGCCUGGGCGCCGUCUAAUCGACGCCUAGCGGAACAGGGGCGAGCAGCCACAGGCGCGGCGCGGCUCGCUCGCCGUAGGGGAAAUGUUGGUCCAGUGAUAAAGCCCCCCUCUCCCCCACUCUAACACCUGGGUUUUAGGGUCGGAGUGGCUAGAGGGGGUGGUCUAAGUGAAAGGAUAGCGCUGGUUAAUUCCUGGAAUAAGUCUAGGAAAAUGUGAUCACCUGUGCCAAGUUGAGAAUUGAACCCAGGCAUUCAAAUUCGACCAAAAGAAGACCAGCCAAGCUACGCUCAUUUCGCAUAUGGAUAGAUCAAUUCCACUCACCACAUUUCACAUGUACACAUAUUCAAUGGUGUAAUCAUUUAGUCAUUUACAUUUUGAAUCUUCAUGGAGAAACCAACUUCAUACUAUAAACAUGCAAAAAUGGGAACGAACGUGAUAUAGAUGAGGCUGAGGUGGGCCUAUUCGGAAAGCAGAAGCAGAUGGCAAAAGAAUCAUGCGCCGAGGUCGUCCUAGAACCGGAGCUCUCCAAUGCCCUGGCUACCCGAGCUAGCCCUCCUGCCGUGCUCUCCAUCCACCGGGUUCCUAGCUGCCCUAGCUCAUCGGGGAUCUGAGCCGCGGUGUCAGAGCCCACUCUAGUGGCCACCCGAGCUUGCCCUCUAACCAUGCCUACCACAGCUCGCCCGCACCCUGGCUGCCCACGGCCAUGAUCGUGCGCCAAAGGAGAUGGAGAGAAGACAUUGUUCAAUUGGGUUCAGCUAGUUUCUUCGUUUUGUGCGGACGGGACUGACUCGGAUAUCAAGGGAAUGAACCCAACCCCUCUGGUUUUUAGAACCAAACGCCUCUAAAAUUGGGUCUGACCCAACCCAGUUAGAACCUAAAGUGAAAUACAUGCUUGGUUUCAUACCAAUGGAAUGCUGAAUGGUCAUCAUGUUGUAGCAACCAGAUAUUUCUUGACCUUACUGUUACACACUGAUGAUAUUAUCCAAUAUACAACACAAGAGCCUUUUUACCAUCCUUGGAAACACAAGUAAUAAUUAUAAGUUGGGGUGGUACCGAGAUUUAGUGGCACAGGUCACUACAAUGGGAGAUAAUGUAAUAUCAAAAGCUUACAUUAUACUAAUGGCCUGGAGUAUAUGGACAGUGAGGAAUGAUCAGAUCUCCAAUCACAUUUCUCCAACCUUGAGGCAGUAAAGGCCAAAUUCAUCUAUGAGUUUGCCAUGCUUAUGCACAGAGCAAAGCCCGUUGCUUUCCAGAUUUACCACCUGGCUAGAAUCAUUUAUGCAAUAUAGUCUUCUCAUCUCCUUUUCUUUUCUUUUCUUUUCUUUUGUUGUUUUUCACUUCUCUGUACUCUUCUUCUUUUAAUAUAUUAGUCAGCACUCAGCACGGGCUUGCCCCUUCUGUUGCUUCCAACAAAAAAGCGCUUAGAAUUAGGUAAAUAAUUUAUAUGCAGUGGAAAUCACCAAAGUUUAGUUAAUGGUGUAACAUGGUCUUGUUUGUGCUACAGAAAAAAAUUGUCCUCAUUGAGGAAAUAUUUAGAGGCUA